UACGGAGGGGGGCUAGCGUUGUUCGGAAUUACUGGGCGUAAAGCGCACGUAGGCGGCUUUGUAAGUUAGAGGUGAAAGCCCAGGGCUUAACCCUGGAAUUGCCUUUAAGACUGCAUCGCUAGAAUCGUGGAGAGGUGAGUGGAAUUCCGAGUGUAGAGGUGAAAUUCGUAGAUAUCGAGAGGAACACCGGUGGCGAAGGCGGCCAACUGGACGAGUACUGACGCUGAGACACGAAAGCGUGGGGGAGCAAACAGG
rnacentral:rRNA from 1 species